rnacentral:rRNA from 1 species
AUUGAACGCUGGCGGCAUGCUUUACACAUGCAAGUCGAACGGUAACAGGCCUUCGGGUGCUGACGAGUGGCGAACGGGUGAGUAAUGCAUCGGAACGUGCCCAGAGGUGGGGGAUAACGCAGCGAAAGCUGUGCUAAUACCGCAUAUUAUCUGAGGAUGAAAGCGGGGGACUAAGCAGCAAUGUUUGGCCUCGCGCCUUUGGAGCGGCCGAUGUCAGAUUAGGUAGUUGGUGGGGUAAAAGGCCUACCAAGCCGACGAUCUGUAGCUGGUCUGAGAGGACGACCAGCCACACUGGGACUGAGACACGGCCCCAGACUCCUACGGGAGGCAGCAGUGGGGAAUUUUGGACAAUGGGCGCAAGCCUGAUCCAGCAAUGCCGCGUGCAGGAAGAAGGCCUUCGGGUUGUAAACUGCUUUUGUACGGAACGAAAAGGCUCUGGUUAAUACCUGGGGCUCAUGACGGUACCGUAAGAAUAAGCACCGGCUAACUACGUG